CAGCAGCCGCGGUAAUACGUAGGGUGCAAGCGUUAAUCGGAAUUACUGGGUGUAAAGCGUGCGCAGGCGGUUAUAUAAGACAGAUGUGAAAUCCCCGGGCUCAACCUGGGAACUGCAUUAGUGACUGUAUAGCUAGAGUGCGGCAGAGGGGGAUGGAAUUCCGCGUGUAGCAGUGAAAUGCGUAGAUAUGCGGAGGAACACCGAUGGCGAAGGCAAUCCCCUGGGCCUGCACUGACGCUCAUGCACGAAAGCGUGGGGAGCAAACAGGAUUAGAUACUCUGGUAGUCCACGCCCUAAACGGUGUCAACUGGUUGUUGGGUCUUCACUGACUCAGUAACGAGGCUAACGCGUGAAGUUGACCGCCUGGGGAGUACGGCCGCAAGGUUAAAACUCAAAGGAAUUGACGG
rnacentral:rRNA from 1 species